AGCACGACACCUCUGCUUACUGCUUAAAAGGAAAUAGUUCACUGUCUGCUUUUUCUCUUCCUCUUUUUCUGGACGGAGCACAAGACGUGGUCAUGACCCAGCUUUGACCACGCAGCUAAGGACAACCUCUUAGGAACUGUGAUGCAACAAGAUGGGCGAGAGCCACGUCCCUAAAUGACCCAAAGGAGCUCAGCGGCGCCAGCAGCCUGGACCACUCAUCUCUCUGAGAUGAAGGAAGCAGCUGUUAAAAAAAUCCAGGCCGCACACAAGAAGCAUGAAACGCCACCACCAACAAUAACAACGACGACGACGGAUAACAGUAACACGGAAGUGCUCUGGGCUGGCCAGUGCGGUGGUGCUGCAGCCGCUCUCGGCCGGCACUGGGCAGAUGUGUGGUGCACAGACAUACACAGAGG